UGUGGAAUUUUGCACAAUGGGGGAAACCCUGAUGCAGCGACGCCGCGUGAUUUAGAAGGCCUUCGGGUUGUGAAAAUCUUUUCUAUGGGAAGAAAAUGACAGUACCAUAGGAAUAGGACCGGCUAAUUACGUGCCAGCAGCCGCGGUAAUACGUAAGGUCCGAGCGUUGUCCGGAAUCAUUGGGCGUAAAGGGUACGUAGGCGGGUAAGCAAGUUAGAAGUGAAAUCCUAUAGCUCAACUAUAGUAAGCUUUUAAAACUGCUCAUCUUGAGGUAUGGAAGGGAAAGUGGAAUUCCUAGUGUAGCGGUGAAAUGCGCAGAUAUUAGGAGGAAUACCGGUGGCGAAGGCGACUUUCUGGCCAUAACCUGACGCUGAGGUACGAAAGCGUGGGUAGCAAACAGG
rnacentral:rRNA from 1 species